rnacentral:rRNA from 1 species
CCUACGGGAGGCAGCAGUAGGGAAUAUUGCUCAAUGGGGGAAACCCUGAAGCAGCAACGCCGCGUGGAGGAUGAAGGUUUUCGGAUUGUAAACUCCUUUUGUUAGAGAAGAUAAUGACGGUAUCUAACGAAUAAGCACCGGCUAACUCCGUGCCAGCAGCCGCGGUAAUACGGAGGGUGCAAGCGUUACUCGGAAUCACUGGGCGUAAAGAGCGCGUAGGCGGGAUAGCAAGUCAGAUGUGAAAUCCUAGGGCUUAACCAUAGAACUGCAUUUGAAACUGGUAUUCUAGAGUAUGGGAGAGGUAGGUGGAAUUCUUGGUGUAGGGGUAAAAUCCGUAGAGAUCAAGAAGAAUACUCAUUGCGAAGGCGACCUGCUAGAACAUAACUGACGCUGAUGCGCGAAAGCGUGGGGAGCAAACAGGAUUAGAUACCCGUGUAGUC